ACCACUAUGGUGGUUACAAGACUCGGCUUGUAAUCGAGUGGGCUCGGGUUCGAAUCCCGACUAAGGUA